UCGAAGCAGACAGCGCUAAUUGCGUGAAACAUGGAUGGUGUAAACACACAAACCCGUGUGAGCGACAACUCGGCGAAUACAUUACAGACCUGUAAAUUACUCAGGUUGUUUUUCUAUGGUGCUACAUUGUACCGGGGUGUGCAGUAAAAACAAGUUAAGGACAAGCAGUAAGUUCCGUCAUUCGCCGGUCAGAGUUUCAGAGCGGUGCAAGCCUGAUGCCUGAUGCCUGAAGGCUAAGCUAAGAUAGUAAGGAGUUUUGGAGAAGACACUUUAGACAUGGACAAGCUGGAAACUCAGAGGGUUCACAGUCCCCAUUUCCAACACGAAGACGUCACUGGAGAGGAGCGUGGCUGAAUCAAGUCUUUGAGAAAAUCUUCACACCACACACCAUCCAGUGUCUGCUUCUCUUCCAGAUUCCUCCAGCUGUGCCACAUCAGAUUCUGUCACCACUGUACAUGUUUCCUAAUUUAUUUUUGUUUGCAUAUUGUGUUAGAGAUUCUUUUAGAUUCGUCUUCUUGUUUAUUUUAUAUUAAAAAAUUUUCCUUUGUUAA